rnacentral:tRNA from 2 species
CGGGGUGUAGCGCAGUUGGUAGCGCGCCUGCUUUGGGAGCAGGAUGCCGCAGGUUCGAGUCCUGUCACUCCGACCA